AAUUAGAAUUGAUGUUGGAGAUUAUGCGAGUAAAGAAGAAUGUUAAUAAUAGUAAUGACUUUUCUAAAUUAUUAAAACUAAUUGAGAAAUAUAGAUCAUUAAAUUACUCAAAAAAACGAAUUAAGCGUGUACUGACCCCGUAGAGACUUGCCGCGUCCGCCCGCUGGCGGAGCGGCAGAGUGAUUCAAAAAUGAAUUGCUAACACGUCGGUCCCCUCCUGCGCAUAAUGCUACGGAAGGGUGAUGGUAUAGUCCAUGCCAUUGGUAACAAUGGA
rnacentral:autocatalytically_spliced_intron from 1 species